rnacentral:tRNA from 1 species
AAGGGUAUAGCUAAGUGGUAGAGCACAUGCCUUGCAAGCACAAGGUCCUGGGUUCAAUCCCCAGUACCUCCA